CGGCGUCGUGGUGCUUCGAGCCGUUGGUGCCGUUGAUGGAGGAGUUGGAGCCCAGCGGGGGAGGCUGCGUCCCGGCGAAAAGAUCCGCGGAGGAGCCGUUAGUCCACAGACUCAUGGAGCGCUGGUGCCGGGUUCGGUUUGCGCGGGAGGCAGCAGGUGGAGGUCUGGGGUCAGCUCGGUCUCUCCGGGCGGUCAGACGACCUCCUGCCGACCGAUGGAGCUCCUCCUCGGGUUCGACUGCCGAUUCAGUAGCAGGUCACAGAUCCCUGUGUCCUUUUAUGGAGCAAGUGUUUAAUGUGGGAAAGUUUCGACUGAGGAGAGGGAGAGAGAGAAAAAAAAAGAAACUGAGACACAAACUGCUGCAUCCUCCUCUCAUGUUGGUAGAGAGA